rnacentral:sRNA from 1 species
UCCAAAAGUAGGUAUGGAACGAUUUGCGC